UUCUCCGGAGUGCGCCGGCGGUGGCGCCUGCGGACCUAACUAGCUCCAGGUUAGGCCGAGCUUUGCGGGAAAGCAGCGGUGGAAUCUCACUCUGUCACCCAGGAUGCAGUGCACUGGCGUGUUCUCGGUCUCACUGUAACCUCUGCCAUCUGGGCUCAAGUGAUUCUCCUGCCUCAGCCUCCGGAGUAGCUGGGAUUACAGAGAAAGCGUCGUGGUGGAGCAAUAAAUUCUAGACAAGCUCAGAAGCGAACUCGGGAAGCAACCUCCACCCCCGAGAUCUCCUUGGAAGCAGAACCCA
rnacentral:lncRNA from 10 species